rnacentral:lncRNA from 1 species
GUUUUUGUUUUGUUUUUUUGUGGGAUUUGAAUUUCAAACCCAUAAUUAAACUUCCUCAGGGUUUCUCCUUAGAGGACACUUUGGCAUCAAGCCAACAGGCAACCUAGAAGAGAGGAGGAGGAGGAAGAGGAUGGAGGACGAAAAGAGUAGGAAGGUGGCGGCAAAAUGACAUAGGAUCGUUCAUCUGGCUCCUGGUGACAUUGUCAACACAGGAAGGAAUCUUAGUUGCGGAGCAGCUGUCUGUACACACUGAGACAAGGGUGAGAAGACUGAUCUCUUGUUUCUGUUUAUGGCCUGUUCCUGCCUCCCGGGAGAGGAGGGUAAUAUCUGCCCUUCCCAUCUAUCUGUGGAGUCAUUUUCCUCAUUUGUAUUCCAGUCCCAUGACUGACCAUUUGUCAAAGUAAUACAGAAAUUCCUGCAUUACCACAAGGAUGUUUAUGAAGGCUGCUUGUCAGACUGAACCACGCUAAUGGAAUACAAGGUUGAUGCUGAAUAUUCCACGAAAGCUGCUACCUCUGCUUACUCAGACCUUUCCAACUUUUUGUCAUAUACGUUGCUUUUGCUUGGAGAAAGAGAUAGGAACAGAAAAUUUUUGGAAAAAAUCACCGAGCCAACAGCGCUCAAAAGUUGUAUUACAUUUUUGAACUUCCGGGAGAACAUGGCGGACAGAUAACAGCAACUACCGGAGGCUCUCUGAAAAACUAGGCUCAGAAACCAGAUAUGGUGCGGACUAAAGAGACAUAAGCAGGUGGAGUUAUGCUCUGCUGACUCAGGAACGAACUCGGCUGAGAGAAACCAACUUGGAAUGCAGUCCUGGUGCUAAAACAGGAACAGAAAAGUCUCGCUGCUGAGGCUGGACCCUGUGCCAUUGGAAGCCGCGAUUUGGGUUUCCCGCCGCGCAGUGGCUGGCUGCCUCUACAUUGGCUCGGCAAGGAGAGAGACGCGCGGAAACUCUGAGAACGGGAGUCUGCGAACGGAGUCGAAAACAGGACGGGCAGAGAGGCAUGUUCUGACUUGUGGCGAGGUGAGUGAGAGAAACUGACACUCCACCACAGUUUGACUCCAG